rnacentral:tRNA from 1 species
GCCCGCGUGGUGGAAUGGUAGACACCGGGGACUUAAAAUCCCCUGGCUUCGGCCGUGCCGGUUCGAGUCCGGCCGCGGGUACCA